GAUGAACGCUGGCGGCGUGCCUAAUACAUGCAAGUCGAGCGAACGGACGAGAAGCUUGCCUCUCUGAUGUUAGCGGCGGACGGGUGAGUAACACGUGGAUAACCUACCUAUAAGACUGGGAUAACUUCGGGAAACCGGAGCUAAUACCGGAUAAUAUUUUGAACCGCAUGGUUCAAAAGUGAAAGACGGUCUUGCUGUCACUUAUAGAUGGAUCCGCGCUGCAUUAGCUAGUUGGUAAGGUAACGGCUUACCAAGGCAACGAUGCAUAGCCGACCUGAGAGGGUGAUCGGCCACACUGGAACUGAGACACGGUCCAGACUCCUACGGGAGGCAGCAGUAGGGAAUCUUCCGCAAUGGGCGAAAGCCUGACGGAGCAACGCCGCGUGAGUGAUGAAGGUCUUCGGAUCGUAAAACUCUGUUAUUAGGGAAGAACAUAUGUGUAAGUAACUGUGCACAUCUUGACGGUACCUAAUCAGAAAGCCACGGCUAACUACGUG
rnacentral:rRNA from 1 species